UGGGGAAUAUUGCACAAUGGGCGCAAGCCUGAUGCAGCCAUGCCGCGUGUGUGAAGAAGGCCUUCGGGUUGUAAAGCACUUUCAGCGAGGAGGAAGGUGGUGAGCUUAAUACGCUCAUCAAUUGACGUUACUCGCAGAAGAAGCACCGGCUAACUCCGUGCCAGCAGCCGCGGUAAUACGGAGGGUGCAAGCGUUAAUCGGAAUUACUGGGCGUAAAGCGCACGCAGGCGGUUUGUUAAGUCAGAUGUGAAAUCCCCGGGCUCAACCUGGGAACUGCAUUUGAAACUGGCAAGCUAGAGUCUCGUAGAGGGGCCUAGAAUUGCCAGGUGUAGCAGGUGAAAUGCGUAGAGAUCUGGAGGAAUACCGGUGGCGAAGGCGGCCCCCCUGGACGAAGACUGACGCUCAGGUGCGAAAAGCGUGGGGCAGCAAACAGGAUUAGAUACCCUGGUAGUCCAGCGCUGUAAACGAUGUCGAUUUGGAGGUUGUGCCCUUGAGGCGUGGCUUCCGGAGCUAACGCGUUAAAUCGACCGCCUGGGGAGUACGGCCGCAAGGUUAAAACUCAAAUGAAUUGAC
rnacentral:rRNA from 1 species